UUCCAUUUUGGCCCCAGCAACAUCCCCGUUGCCUCUGCUGUUUCCAAAUCAUGGAUUUUUGUGGAAAUUCCAGAAAGCGUAAAACUCCUGUUACAGGGGGUGCAGUCAAGGUUGAUUUGCAUAAUUUGUAACUGACCGUUUGGCCAACCCCUGUUCAUCAGUGACCGCUCUGACUCACAUGUUUACAACACAAUGGAUCAUGGAACUGGACUGUGUUUAGUUGACUAAUCAUUUUUUAUGCCGCGUCUUGGAGAGCAUUUGUUGUUUUAUCCGAACACCCCAUUUUCCCUGCUGGACCCCCAGCAUGUCUCCAGCAGCGAAUUCCAAACCGAUGUCUUCUUCCUUACCCGAUUUGAACCCACGGCCGUUACAUCUGUUGAGAUGAAAGGGAAGAAUGUUACACGUGCCAACGGGGCAGUUCUGUGCAAUAACAACACGGAUCGUACCGCUUACUUAUCUACCUUUGCAUAACAAUGAUAAGUGGUCACAGCUGAGGAUGGAACUGAGAGCUAAAGGCUCACCUCUGGAUGCUUGCAAUGGAGGAGAGCCAUGUGUGGACUUUCUGUCUAGCCAAAAGGUGGAAAGGUGGGGAGAUACUGUGGUCUGCAGAAAGCCCUCAGUAAUUAUGUCACUUUUUCCAGUCAUCUGAUAUUGUUUGUCUUCUUUUCUUUUAUGAAGGCGAUCAACUGUUCACCCUGUUCAUAGCUUCAGGGCUUCAACUCUUGGUGUCAUUUUAACCCUGUGCUGCACUAAUAUAUUUCAAAAAUAUAGAGGCGCUUACGUUUAUUUUAUGUCAACGGCAAUGUGGUUUGUGACCUACUUUCGCAUUCUAUGGCUGAAAUGUAUGUAAAGUGGGAAUUGUUCCCACUUCUCUUGCACACUUGUCAAGCUCUGUUUGCUUUGUACAUGCUGCAGUGUAGCCUUAUUUUCCAAAAAGUGAACUGUACUCAGACGUAAUUAAUGCAGCAUGGGUCUUCUCUUACCUCACAAUUUGCCUGGACUUCAGGCAAUAGUUUUUAUGUAUUAAUGGGGGGAAAAAGUAACAAUAGCAGCGUAAUGGUGAUGGAUCCAGACACUUGAACUAGAAUGCACUGCAAAAUAAAAAGAAAUCAGUUAUACUACUAUUACUUGUUUCAGUGGUCCAAGUACCAUUGCCAAAUACUAGGCUUAAUGAAAGCCAUUAUGCAGCUUCACGGAUGUAAACCUAUUAUAAAUUGUGCACUGUUUUGAAACCGGGUGCUUAAAAGUAAAUCAUUCCAUUAUUUAGGAAGAUGGGGAUGGUGGUACAAUAAAUUGCGAUUGUUUG